rnacentral:rRNA from 1 species
GAUUAACGCUGGCGGCGUGCCUAACACAUGCAAGUCGAACGACGAAACUUUAAUGACCCCUUCGGGGAGAAUUAAAGCGGCUUAGUGGCGAACGGGUGAGUAACGCGUGCGUAUCCUGCCUUACACAAGGGGAUAGCCUUUGGCAAAGAAGAAUAACAACCUAUAAAACCAUACAAGCACAUGCCAUUCUUGUCAAAGUGAUAUCGGUGUAUGAGGGAUUUGCGUCUGAUUAGCUAGUUGGUGCGGUAAGAGCCCACCAAGGCAAUGAUCAGAAGCCGGCUGGGGAGAACGGACGGCCACAUUGGGGCAGGGACACGUCCCAGACUCCGGCGGGUGGGAGCAGGGGGGAAUUUGGCACAAUGGGGGAGACCCGGAGGCCGCGAGGCCGCGAGAUUUAGAAGUCCUGCGGGUUGUAAAGAUCUUUUGUAUAGGGAUAAAAUGACAGUACUAAACGAAUAAGGACCGGCUAACUACGUG